CCCUAAGAAGCAUAUUGGACACUGAGGCUUAGAAUAGAUAAGGAUGUUUACCAGAGUUGCAGGAGAGGCAUGCAGUGUUAGAAACCCCAUCUGUGCAACUCUAAACCGAUUCUCAGCACCUCUGUCAGACAACUCACCAGAUAAAACCUUUACAUUUGGAACAGAAAGUGAAGCAUCUUAAGAUUAAAGGCUCCGCACAGAUGGGAUUUUUCAAAUGAAAACCAGAUGAAAGUAAACAGCAAUCUCACCAUCAAAACCUAAAGGUGGUCUUCCUUGCCUCUGUCAGUAGAGAAAUGAAAGACAGAGGGCUGAAUCAGCCAGCCAAGUAGGAUGAAAACGGAUGAUGCAGGUUUUAUUUCACAUCGCUUCAGAAAAUGUAA